GGUUAUCCGGCAUCUGACAUCGAUUGUCCUUCAGGGUCAAAGGCCAGGCAGCAUCUAUAGGAAGAAGUACAGUCGACGUUUCAGGCCAAGACCCUUCGUCAGGACUAACUGAAAGGAAAGGUUCUUUCGGAGACCCUGACCUGGAGUUACAGUCUGACUUCAGUUCUUUGCGGGAAUAGGACCUGCUCUCGGGGCCUCACGGCCAGGCGGUCUGGAAGACUAGUGCGCCUCCUUCAGGGUGCCAGAUCUUUGCGGCUCUGGAGACAGACUGAUUGAAGGCCGGUGCUCCUGACUGAGGCAUUUCGAGAGAACACGGAACAUCGGGAGCAGUGGUUUAGCUGCUGGAUGUGUGGCCAGAGACUUGGGCGCAGAGCUCAGGAACGCAACAGACUUUUAACAGCACAAAUCAGCGAGUUGUUUGUCAUGUCUCCCCUCUCGCUGUGAAACACGGACACCUCUUUUUCCCUUAUUAGGAAGAGAGAGAGAUCCUGUGGUAUGUCGGAUACCAGAUAGUUGUUGACUUGCUGAUUGCUUCCAAGAUGUUCUGGUGUGGAUGAAAGCAUGUUGUAGCAUCAUCCUGAGAUAAUAACAUAUUAGCUGCUAUGUCAGAGGUGAUAACGUGAGGUUCUUGCUCUGUGGGGGGAAGGCCCAGCCAAAGGGACAGCAAGAGAUGUGAACAGGGAGAUCCAGAGAGAAGUCGAAGACACUUGCUGAAUUCUUGGUCUCCAAUUCCUCGGUAAAAUGCCUGAUCCUGAGCAACUCUCCCCAUUCCCCCCUCCCCAAAUUCUACAAUCACCUCUUUACUGUCACUCAUUGCCCCUUCCCAAUAUCUUACUCCCAGUUUUGAUUCUGUUGUCCCUGCCCAGAAAGUAUUGUUGUUCUUCAUCCCAACCACCCUCACCACAUUCCAAGCCACAACCACUACCAACCUUCCUUCCAACUUCACCUGCUCACACCACCACCCUUUCCUCUACCUCAACCUCACUCCUGACCCCCUCCAAUCCCUAUCCCCAACCAUUCCCCUCAUUGUUCCCUAUCCCCACCAUCGCCACCCUUUCAACAUCACCCCCAACACCCAUUUACACAACAGAGCACUACACCCUACCUCCCUUCACCUGCAACCCCUCCUGCUCUCACCCACUUCUCCCUCUCCGCCCCUUCCUCUUCCCCACGCAAUUCCCCCUCCCACUCCCACCACCCCUCCCACUCUCCCUUUUGUCAAUUGUCCAAUGAAACAGGGCUGUGGUUUCAUUACAAGACAUGCCCUUUCUAAAGGCCUUGUCUUACUAAGCAUCACCUGAUGUAUCUACAUACAAUGGAGACAUGCCAACAAGAACUCCUCAAGAGCUUCCCCCCCUUUCCCAACCACUAGCUCCCAUGCAUAACCCCUCCCUCCCCGCACACUGCACCGGCUUGCUAAUCUUCACCUAGCCAGAACACUGCCACCAUUGACUGCCAGUGGCUAAAAUGGAGGAUUGCAGUGACGCCAGUGAUUGUUGGGAAGCCAGUGAUACCAGGAUGUCCCACCACCACCUGUCCCCUGACCCUCUCCAGUGCACAGAGCAGCUGGCAGGUGACAUGAUCCAGCUGAAUCCAUUCCAGGUGAGGCAACAACCAAAAUGGUUCUGGUUUCUCUGCUCUGUGCUGUCUUAGCACACACUAUAGGUUUCCCUGAACUUUCAAGACAAUUGUUUAAUUUUCUCUGAUGGGUCAUGAAUGAAUACAACACGGGGAAAUAAAGGUGAUGACCGAACAUCAAGAAAUCAACUAAAUGGCAAUUGAAGGGUUCACUCACUUUCCCACUAGGAAAUGGAGAAAAACAGGUCGGGAGACUUUUAGGACAAUUUAUAGUGUAGGUAUAGAGAAACUAUUUUUUUGUUUGCAUAAUCUACAAUUAGGAGGUGUUGUCCAGGCCUAUUAAGAUUAAAGUUUGGAAACAUUUCUAUGUGGUAGAAAUUUGGAGAUUUGUUCUGAAAUGAUGAGUGCCAGACUAAACAUUGAUAGUGAAACAGACUCUGAGUUUUGACGGCCAGUGUUAUUACAUAAUACAAGGCAAGAACAUUAUUUGAACGCAAGUCACAGAUCAGUCAUGAUUUUCUUCAGUGGCGAGCAGGCUUGAAGAGUUCUUGUUGGCAUGUCUCCAUAGUAUGUGGAUGCAUCAGGCAACUCUUAGUAAGACAAGGCCUUUAGAACGGAAACGUCUUGAAACACAGUCUUGUUUCCUUCCCAAACAGCACAAUAGCCUAGUGGUUUGCACAACACUUUAUGUUGCCAGCAAUCACUGACCGCUGAUCAAUUACUGCUGCUAUCUGUACCAAGUUUGUACAUUCUCCCAGUGACUACAUGGGUUUCCUCCCACAUGCUUAUUACUUAGGGUUAGGUUAGUGAGCUGUGGGCAUGUUAUGGUGGUGCGGACUGCCCCCAGCACAAUCCUCAGACUGUGUUGGUCGAUGACACCAAAUAAUGCAUUUCAUUGUACAUUUCAAUGUUUCGAUGUACAUGUGACACAUAAAAUUAAUCAUAAUCAGACUAUUUUGCUAAUGCUGAUCAUCUGCAUUUGUGAUUGGGGUUCUGGAGGACCUGAAUUGUCCCUGCAAGUGCAGACAAAGGAGGGAAAUGGAGGGUGGACCAGGAAAGGAAAACAAGACAAUAGCUGUUCAGAUUUGCCAGUGCCCACCUCCCUUUCCUAAGGAAAACUUCCUCAGCUCACUCCACACUCUUAUCUCUGAGCCCAAUUAAAGCUGGAUGAAACGAAUGCAUCCAGAAAUAGAGCAGUCAUGAAUUUUAAAAAUGUGCCAUUAAUAGGACCCUAAUGUAAUCUGUUUGAGGAGCUUCAGUUCCAAUACACAACAGCAGACUGAACAGAUUCUGGUCACUGUGGGAAUUUGUUAAAUGGGAUACAGACCUCCUUCAUGUCAUUAAAUUCUUUUUGUUUGCUAUUUAGUUAGUUAGGCUUUGAAGUUAAAGGUAAAUAGCAAAUAGUCCUUUUUAUAAGCAGACACUUCUCAGUUAUAUUUAAAGUGUCUCUUCCUUCCGUCCUAGAAUACAACCAUUCUUUGAUUUACAAUCCAUCUAUCAAAAAGAUACAUCAUUAAGAACCCCCUUCACCAAGUCCAACUCCUGGCCUUCCACAAGGCCCGGCAGAAAUGUUUCUACUGACAAGAGAAGGGGCAAAUGCGGACCACUGGCGCCUCAAAACCAGUUGCUUCAGGCAGGUAUGGCUCGUCAACCUUGGACGCCUGCCUGCCUAGGAGAAGGAAGAAUCAGACUUUAAACCUCCUCUGCCUUGCGGCCAUACCCACCCAUGGGAAAGGCUUCGGGAGUAAACCUGGAGGAAGAAAUCUGGAGCCAGGGUCCCUAAGGCAGUUUGAUGUUGCCUACAACCUCACUACAGCAUCCUUUGUGAUGACACUGGUGCCGAGCUGUAUUGGUGCUUGCCCUUCGCUUGGACAACAUCAGUGAUGUGUAGAGGGGGAUACCACUGCGUGGGCAACAGCCGGUUCUUCAAAUCUUCCCGUCCAGGCUUGCACCCUGGAGAGGAGACAGUCCACCAGAGGCUCAAACCCAUGAUUCCCUGGGAUUGAUAGCUGCCUACUACUACAUGGAGAGGUAUGGCAUAGAAACGGGCCCUCCGGCCCAAUGAGGCCAUGCCAACAAUCAACCACCCAUUUAUACUAAUCCCACUUCUUCCCUGAUUCCAUGACCUAAACAUUAGGGGCAGUUUACAGUGGCCAGUUAACCUACCAGCCAGCACAUCUUUUGCACGUGGGAAGAAACUGGAGUACCCGGAGGAAUCCCACGUCUUCGUUGCGGGGAGAACGUGCAAAGCUCCACGUUCACAGCACUGGAGGUCAAGAUUGAUCCGGGUCACUGGAGCUAAAACAGUGGCAGCUCUUGUCGCUGCGGCAUUCAACGUGGGGUGGUCUAGUAACAUAGCAGUUAGCACAAUGCUUCAUAGUGCCAGCCGAAAGAUCAGGUUUCAGAUCCUGCCACCGUCAGUAGGAAGUUUGUACGUUCUCCCAAUGACUGCGUGGAUUUCCUCCCACAAUCUAAGGACUUACAGUUAGGGUUUGUGUGUUGUGGCCAUGCUAUGUAUGAGGCAAACUCAAUGGGCUGAAUGGCCUAAUUCUGCUCCUAUGUCUCAUGUUGGCGUAGCAACAUUUCUGGGCUGCCCAGCCCCAUCCUAAUGUCGACUGUACUUCUCCCUAUAGAUGCUGCCUGGCCUGCUGCGUUCCACCAGCAUUUUGUGUGUGUUGCUUGAAUUUCCAGCAUCUGCAGAUUUCCUCGUGUUUGGACUUCACUGUGUGUUUUGAUGUGUAUGAGACAAAUAAAGAUAAUCUCAAAAAAAAUGAGAAUAUCAUGCAGUUGAAGCUGCUGUAUUUCAAAUGAGUGGAUAAACGGAAGUACUAGUUGCCUGCCUGAGGUGGGCAUCAAAUAUUCUUCAUCAUUAUUUCAAAGAAGAGUGAGGAUUUCUCCCCAGGAUCUUGGCCAAUCUUUAACUCUCAUUCUACACCAUGAAAACAGAUCCCAUGAUUAUCACAUUAUAGUUUAUCAGUGAUCAUUGCAGCUGAUAUUGCCUGCUCCAUUUAUUUUAUUUCAACAACAUCUGCACGUCAAGAAGUACUUCAGUGGCUGUAAAGCUCUUUGGGGAUGAUCUGAGGUCAUGUAAGUAUUUCUACAAAUGCAUGUCUUUCUCAGCACCACAAGCUGGAAGAUAACUUUUAAAAAGCCUUUUCAUUUAGCUGCGCUGUUCACACACACACACACACACACACACACACACUCACACACACACACACACACACACACACACACAGAUAUAAUAGUUAAAAUGAAAAAAGCAGUGUAAGAUAGAAAAAAAUAAAAAAAAAGUAGUGAGGAACUGUUCAUAGAUCCAAUGUUCAUUCAGAAAUCGAUAGUGUAGGGGAAGAAGCUGUUCCUGAAACAUUGACUGAGUCCCUUCGAUCUUCUGUACUUACUUCCUGAUGGUGGCAAUGAGAAGAGGUUGAUGGGGGUCCUUAAUGAUGGACACCGCCUUUCUGAGGCAUCAUUCCUUGAAAUUGUUUUGGAUACUACAAGUAUAAUUGCCAGGAAAGACAACUCUCUCUUCUGCUUGCAAUAUUGGCAGAGGCCAAAAAAAAGUACCAUUCUGUGCCGACCAAUCACUUUGUAAAUAUAAGCCAAGGGCCUCAAAAGUGUAGCAACACAAUUGCUAAUUGGAUUUUAAUAUUUAAACUUCAUCCCGAGAACCUGAAAAUAGAUAACCCUGACAUUCCUGUAAACAUUGACUGUUUGGCUAACCAUUUAUUGUUCCAUUUACUUCAACAACAUACAUUUACCAGACUAGCUGGAAUCUAUAAAGGCCCUUGGGAUCAUAUGAAGUUUGUAUCCAAGGUACAGCUCAUUCUUGUU